CACACAGGCAGGCAGGCCAGAGGGCUGAAGAGCUAUGCCUUCUCCUCUUUGUCUUUACACACCCAGCAGAACCGGAGGCCUCACUUCCUACCUACUUUCCUUGUUUGACCACUCUACUUUGAUGCAAAUCCAAUGGCCAUUCAUAUCCUGGGCUUGUUCAAGAAGAGCCCACUUGUGGUGACCUCGGAGAAGGCAGGAUAUAGGCGCCCUGAAGCUCUCGCCAGGCGGAGGUGCACCUGCUAUCAGAGCCGCCCCCAGCUGGCCUUUUGGAGUGUGCGGGAGGAGGUAAUGGAAGGUCUCCCCUGACAUGUUGCCCUCAAAAAAAGCCUCCUUGAAUGUUUCAUCUCACCCUCUUCUUUCAUUCCAUGGGA